rnacentral:rRNA from 1 species
UACAGAGGUCUCAAGCGUUGUUCGGAUUCAUUGGGCGUAAAGGGUGCGUAGGCGGCGCGGUAGUCGGGUGUGAAAUCUCGGAGCUUAACUCCGAAACUGCAUUCGAUACUGCCGUGCUUGAGGACUGGAGAGGAGACUGGAAUUUACGGUGUAGCAGUGAAAUGCGUAGAGAUCGUAAGGAAGACCAGUGGCGAAGGCGGGUCUCUGGACAGUUCCUGACACUGAGGCACGAAGGCCAGGGGAGCAAACGGG